ncrna:Enterococcus pallens ATCC BAA-351 L31-Firmicutes ribosomal protein leader
CUCUGAUUCAGCAAAUGUUUCAGGGCAAAGGAG